rnacentral:rRNA from 1 species
UACAGAGGGGGCGAGCGUUGUUCGGAAUUACUGGGCGUAAAGGGCGCGUAGGCUGCGGGGCAAGUCGGGUGUGAAAUCUCAGAGCUCAACUCUGAAACUGCACUCGAUACUGCUUUGCUUGAGGACUGGAGAGGAGAUUGGAAUUCACGGUGUAGCAGUGAAAUGCGUAGAUAUCGUGAGGAAGACCAGUGGCGAAGGCGGAUCUCUGGACAGUUCCUGACGCUGAGGCGCGAAGGCCAGGGGAGCAAACGGG